rnacentral:piRNA from 1 species
UGGCCUAAGUUGACCUGUUAAUAGGUAGGA